GACGUAGGGCGCGAGCGUUGUCCGGAUUUAUUGGGCGUAAAGAGCUCGUAGGCGGUUUGUCGCGUCGUCCGUGAAAACUCACAGCUUAACUGUGAGCUUGCGGUCGAUACGGGCAGGCUAGAGUUCGGUAGGGGAGACUGGAAUUCCUGGUGUAGCGGUGAAAUGCACAGAUAUCAGGAGGAACACCGGUGGCGAAGGCGGGUCUCUGGGCCGAUACUGACGCUGAGGAGCGGAAGCGUGGGGAGCGAACAGG
rnacentral:rRNA from 1 species